GAUGGACGCUGGCGGUACGCUUAACACAUGCAAGUCGAACGGGUAGUAAUACCAGUGGCAAACGGGUGAGUAAUGUACAGGAAUCUGCCAAAAAGUGGGGGUUAGCUCGGGGAAACUCGAAUUAAUACCGCAUGAUGCCGAAAGGUAAAAGCUUUAUGCGCUUUUUGAUGAGCCUGUAUUCGAUUAGCUAGUUGGUGGGGUAAAGGCCUACCAAGGCUGCGAUCGAUAGCUGGUCUGAGAGGACGAUCAGCCACAGUGGAACUGAGACACGGUCCACACUCCUACGGGAGGCAGCAGUGGGGAAUUUUCCGCAAUGGGCGAAAGCCUGACGGAGCGAUACCGCGUGUCGGAAGAAGGCCUUAGGGUUGUAAACGACUGUCGGAAGGGAAGAAAUAAAUGACGGUACCUUCAAAGGAAGCACCGGCUAACUCUGUGCCAGCAGCCGCGGUAA
rnacentral:rRNA from 1 species